GACGAACGCUGGCGGCGUGCUUAACACAUGCAAGUCGAACGGAAAGGCCCUGCUUUUGUGGGGUGCUCGAGUGGCGAACGGGUGAGUAACACGUGAGUAACCUGCCCUUGACUUUGGGAUAACUUCAGGAAACUGGGGCUAAUACCGGAUAGGAGCUCCUGCUGCAUGGUGGGGGUUGGAAAGUUUCGGCGGUUGGGGAUGGACUCGCGGCUUAUCAGCUUGUUGGUGGGGUAGUGGCUUACCAAGGCUUUGACGGGUAGCCGGCCUGAGAGGGUGACCGGCCACAUUGGGACUGAGAUACGGACCAGACUCCUACGGGAGGCAGCAGUGGGGAAUAUUGCACAAUGGGCGGAAGCCUGAUGCAGCAACGCCGCGUGCGGGAUGACGGCCUUCGGGUUGUAAACCGAUUUCGCAUGUGACGAAGCGUGAGUGACGGUAAUGGGUAAAGAAGCACCGGCUAACUACGUG
rnacentral:rRNA from 1 species